rnacentral:rRNA from 1 species
CAGUAGCCGCGGUAAUACGAAGGGUGCAAGCGUUAAUCGGAAUUACUGGGCGUAAAGCGUGCGUAGGCGGUUUGUUAAGUCUGUUGUGAAAGCCCUGGGCUCAACCUGGGAAUUGCAGUGGAUACUGGGUCACUAGAGUGUGGUAGAGGAUAGUGGAAUUUCCGGUGUAGCAGUGAAAUGCGUAGAGAUCGGGAGGAACAUCAGUGGCGAAGGCGGCCAUCUGGGACAACACUGACGCUGAGGCACGAAAGCGUGGGGAGCAAACAGGAUUAGAUACCCCUGUAGUCCCUGUCUCUUAUAC